UGGGGAAUCUUGCACAAUGGGCGAAAGCCUGAUGCAGCGACGCCGCGUGCGGGAUGAAGGCCUUCGGGUUGUAAACCGCUUUCAGCAGGGACGAGGCCGCAAGGUGACGGUACCUGCAGAAGAAGCCCCGGCUAACUACGUGCCAGCAGCCGCGGUAAUACGUAGGGGGCAAGCGUUAUCCGGAUUCAUUGGGCGUAAAGCGCGCGUAGGCGGUUUGUUAGGUCAGGAGUUAAAUCUGGGGGCUCAACCCCUAUCCGCUCCUGAUACCGGCAGGCUUGGGUCUGGUAGGGGAAGGCGGAAUUCCAAGUGUAGCGGUGAAAUGCGCAGAUAUUUGGAAGAACACCGGUGGCGAAGGCGGCCUUCUGGGCCACGACUGACGCUGAGGCGCGAAAGCUAGGGGAGCGAACAGG
rnacentral:rRNA from 1 species